UCAUACAUGCAAGUCGAGCGCCCCGCAAGGGGAACGGCGGACGGGUGAGUAACACGUAAAGAAUCUGCCCUGAAGCGGGGAAUAACUAUCCCAACGGAUAGCUAAUACCGCAUAAUGAUGGAGGAGGCAUCUCCUUUUCUCAAAAGGCUUCGGCCACUUCAGGAUGACUUUGCGUCCCAUUAGCUUGUUGGCGGGGUAACGGCCCACCAAGGCUACGAUGGGUAUCCGGCCUGAGAGGGUGUACGGACACAUUGGGACUGAGAUACGGCCCAGACUCCUACGGGAGGCAGCAGUAGGGAAUUUUGCGCAAUGGGGGAAACCCUGACGCAGCAACGCCAUGUGUGGGAUGAAGCAUUUCGGUGUGUAAACCACUGUCAGCGGGGAAUAAACGGCAGCUUCGGGCUGCUUUGAAUGUACCCGCAAAGGAAGCCCCGGCUAACUUCGUGCCAGCAGCCGCGGUAAUACGAGGGGGCAAAUGUUGUUCGGAAUCACUGGGCGUAAAGGGAGCGUAGGCGGGUUCUUAAGUUAGGUGUUUAAUCCCGGGGCCCAACCCCGGACCGGCACUUAAAACUGGGAAUCUUGAAUAGUGGAGAGGUCGGUGGAAUUGGGGGUGUAGCGGUGGAAUGCGUAGAGAUCCCCAAGAACACCAGUUGCGAAGGCGGCCGACUGGACACAUAUUGACGCUGAGGCUCGAAAGCAUGGGGAGCAAACAGGAUUAGAUACCCUGGUAGUCCAUGCCAUAAACGAUGAAUACUAGGUUUUGGGCCCGUCAACGGUCCAGAGCCGCAGCUAACGCGUUAAGUAUUCCGCCUGGGGAGUACGGUCGCAAGACUGAAACUCAAAGGAAUUGACGGGGGCCCGCACAAGCGGUGGAGCAUGUGGUUUAAUUCGACGCA
rnacentral:rRNA from 1 species